CUACGGGACGCAGCAGUGAGGAAUAUUGCACAAUGGGGGGAACCCUGAUGCAGCAACGCCGCGUGGAGGAUGACGCAUUUCGGUGUGUAAACUCCUUUUAUAUGUCAAGAAAAUGACGGUAGCAUAUGAAUAAGCACCGACUAACUCCGUGCCAGCAGCCGCGGUAAUACGGAGGGUGCAAGCGUUACUCGGAAUCACUGGGCGUAAAGGACGCGUAGGCGGGUUGGAAAGUCAGGUGUGAAAUCCUACAGCUUAACUGUAGAGCUGCACUUGAAACUUCUAAUCUAGAGUAUGGGAGGGGGAGAUGGAAUUAGUGGUGUAGGGGUAAAAUCCGUAGAUAUCACUAGGAAUACCUAAAGCGAAGGCGAUCUCCUGGAACAUUACUGACGCUAAGGCGUGAAAGCGUGGGGAGCAAACAGGAUUAGAUACCCCAGUAGUC
rnacentral:rRNA from 1 species